UACGUAGGGUGCAAGCGUUAUCCGGAAUUAUUGGGCGUAAAGAGCUCGUAGGCGGUUUGUCGCGUCUGCUGUGAAAACUGGAGGCUCAACCUCCAGCCUGCAGUGGGUACGGGCAGACUAGAGUGCGGUAGGGGAGAUUGGAAUUCCUGGUGUAGCGGUGGAAUGCGCAGAUAUCAGGAGGAACACCGAUGGCGAAGGCAGAUCUCUGGGCCGUAACUGACGCUGAGGAGCGAAAAGUGUGGGGAGCAAACAGG
rnacentral:rRNA from 1 species